rnacentral:lncRNA from 1 species
UUUUAAUUAAGUAUUUUAUGUAUUUUAGGGGCAUUAUAGUCAUUUCACAAUAAAGGAGAGAUCAGACGGCAAAACGGACAUCACUUUUGAACUCAGGAUGGUCGAAAACCUUAGGAGGAGCAUAAAAGGAAAAUGGCACUAUUCAUAUGUACGGUACUAUUCACGUGUACGGUACUAACUACGUUACUGUUCACAACACUGUUCACAACACUGUUCACAUAGAUGGAUCGAUGACGUGGCAUUGACCGAUGAUGUGGCAUUGACUGAUGAGGUGUCAUGAUCCUGUUGGGCUAAAAUUCUUAUGUACUGUUGAUGGUGACGUGGCAGCAUAUCAGUGGAUGAAAAAUAUCGCAUACGAUACAUGCAUCACACAGGAUUAUUUUCAACCAAACCGCGUUACUGUUCAUCCGAGUCAAACCGCGUUAUUGUUCAUCCGCGUGGUCAAACCGUGGACUGUUGACUGAUGACGUGGCGCAAUCCUGAGCGUCCAAACUGUUUUUAAUCCGAUGGCCAUGAUUUACUUCAUGUAUCUAUAAAAAGGGGGCCUCCCCCCCCUAAUUUGAUAGCUCUGAAUCCAUUUUUGGACUCCAUUUUCUGUAAUUUUCUCUCCAUCUUGUAUUUUGUUUGUAUUUUAAUAAAUUCCCAUUUUGCCCCUAGUUCAAUUAUGAGUGGCUAGUUUUCUUUCAAGCUUGGGUUGAAGGUGAAGUCUCAACAUGUGUCAUGGGCUUAAUUUGGUAAAUUUAUUUUCUCUUCCCCUCUAGUUUUUGUGGAUGUUUUGACUUCUCGUCGACAAAUAAUAAUAUUCUUGUCUAGUACCGCCUUGGUUUCACCGGCCCUCUAGUACAAGGUUAUUAUUAUUUGGCACGAUAAGCCCUUAGCACCAUAUUGAUUAGAGCGUGGUUUCAUGAGGUGUGGAAUCCCCCCUCAUGAUUUAAUUGGCAUUAAUACGGAUUAUUUAGCCCAUGAUGCAUGUUGAUACGGAUCCAGAUACCCAAGUACGUCAAUUUAAUAGAUUUUCUCUUCAAUUUAUUCUCUCAAUUGCAAUUGCAAUUUUAGAAUUUAUUCUCGCCAUUUUAAUUUAAUUAUUAGCAUAUUUCAAAUCAUUUCCACCAUAAAUCCAACUACCCAUUUACAAAAUUAAUUCAAUAUAUAAUUAAAAUCCACCUCCUCGUGGGAUCGACACUCGUCACCAUUAGUGUAUACUACAAUAGAUUCGUGCGCUUGCGAGUACAUUAAAAUUUGCACAACAAGUUUUUGGCGCCGUUGCCGGGGAGGUAAGUAAUUUUAAUUCAUAGAAUUAAUUUUUGUGAA